rnacentral:rRNA from 1 species
UGCGUAGGCGGCUUUCUAAGUCGGAUGUGAAAACUCUGGGCUCAACCCAGAGCCUGCAUCUGAAACUGGAGAGCUAGGGUUCUGGAGGGGAAAGCGGAAUUCCUGGUGUAGCGGUGAAAUGCGUAGAUAUCAGGAGGAACACCGGUGGCGAAGGCGGCUUUCUGGACAGAUACCGACGCUGAGGCACGAAAGCUGGGAGCAAACA